UGAGUACGAGCUGCUACGGCAGCGAAGUGGGUGACGUCAAGCUUCCAAGAAAAGCCCUACACCCGUUAAGGCAUGAUGGCCUGUACCCGAAACCGACACAGGUGGGGUGGUAGAGAAUACCGAGGGGCGCGAGGUAACUCUCUCUAAGGAACUCGGCAAAAUGGCCCCGUAACUUCGGGAGAAGGGGUGCCACCGCAAGGUGGUCGCAGUGAAGAGGCCCAGGCGACUGUUUACCAAAAACACAGGUCUCCGCUAAGUCGCAAGACGAUGUAUGGGGGCUGACGCCUGCCCAGUGCCGGAAGGUUAAGGAAGCUGGUCAGCGCAAGCGAAGCUGGCGACUGGAGCCCCGGUGAACGGCGGCCGUAACCAUAACGGUCCUGAGGUAGCGAAAUUCCUUGUCGGGUAAGUUCCGACCCGCACGAAAGGCGUAACGAUCUGGGCGCUGUCUCGGAGAGAGGCUCGGCGAAAUAGAAUUGUCUGUGAAGAUGCGGACUACGUGCACCCGGACAGAAAGACCCUAUGAAGCUUUACUGUAGCUUGGUAUUGUGCCCGGGCUCUGAAUGCGCAGGAUAGGUGGGAGGCUUUGAUCCAUUGCUUGUGGGUGAUGGUGAGCCAACGGUGAGAUACCACUCUUUCAGAGCUAGGGUUCUAACGGUCACCCGUUAUCCGGGGACCGGACAGUAUCAGGUGGGCAGUUUGACUGGGGCGGUCGCCUCCUAAAAGGUAACGGAGGCGCGCAAAGGUUCCCUCAGGCUGGUUGGAAAUCAGCCGAUGAGUGUAAAGGCAGAAGGGAGCUUGACUGUGAGACCUACAAGUCGAACAGGGACGAAAGUCGGCCUUAGUGAUCCGACGGUUCUGAGUGGAAGGGCCGUCGCUCAACGGAUAAAAGUUACUCUAGGAUAACAGGCUGAUCUCCCCCAAGAGUUCACAUCGACGGGGAGGUUUGGCACCUCGAUGUCGGCUCAUCGCAACCUGGGGCUGAAGUCGGUCCCAAGGGUUGGGCUGUUCGCCCAUUAAAGCGGUACGCGAGCUGGGUUCAGAACGUCGUGAGACAGUUCGGUCCAUAUCCGGUGCAUGCGCAGGAAUAUUGAGAGGAUUUCUCCCUAGUACGAGAGGACCGGGAGGAACGCACCUCUGGUGUACCAGUUAUCGUGCCAACGGUAAACGCUGGGUAGCCAUGUGCGGAGUGGAUAACCGCUGAAAGCAUCUAAGUGGGAAGCCCACCUCAAGAUGAGUAUUCCCAUGGCGUUAGCCAGUAAGGUCACGGGCAGAACACCCGUUGAUAGGCUCUACGUGGAAGCCGGGUAACC
rnacentral:rRNA from 1 species